UUCCAGAUAAAUUAUUUUAAAAUUGACACUAUUUCCUAUUGAAUGCCUUAAGUUUCAAUUUUCAAUGUUUUUAAAAAGCCUCACAUGGAAUGCCACUUGAUUUCUUUUUAAAGUGUUCUUGUAGUCUUAGAAAAAUUAGGAUCUGAUCAUUUGCAAUAUCUGCAGGUAACAAACUCAAGGAUUGCUGAACAGUGGAAUGGCGACAAUGAUGCAAUUGCUAAAAUGAAAGCAACUGAAGACACUCUGGAAGCCAAAGAAAAGCAAAAGCCUUCAUUUGAGCUGUCUGGGAAGCUUGCAGAUGAAACUAAUCGAGUCAGAGGUGAUUACUACACUUUGACAUAACAAGCAAAAUGGCAAAAUGUUUGUUUCAAACGUUGUUUGGUGGGAUAGGGGAUAUAUUUUGGUUUCUUUGAAACUUUUCUCUUACUGUGCUACAUGUAUAUAUGGAAAUAGAUUAGCUGAACAGGAAAAUCCUUUAAGUUUCUUCCUCCAUAUG